rnacentral:rRNA from 1 species
GACGGAGGAUGCAAGUGUUAUCCGGAAUCACUGGGCGUAAAGCGUCUGUAGGUGGUUUAAAAAGUCCACUGUUAAAAAUUGAAGCUUAACUUCAAAGAUGCAAUGGAAACUUUUAAACUUGAGUAUGGUAGGGGUAGAGGGAAUUUCCAGUGGAGGCGGUGAAAUGCGUAGAUAUUGGAAAGACCACCAAUGGCGAAGGCACUCUACUGGGCCAUUACUGACACUGAGAGACGAAAGCUAGGGGAGCAAAUGGG